UUCCGUAGGUGAACCUGCGGAAGGAUCUUAU
rnacentral:rRNA from 1 species